CACUUCGGUGUGAGUAAAGCGGCGGACGGGUGAGUAACGCGUAGGAAUCUACCUAGUAGUGGGGGACAACUCGGGGAAACUCGAGCUAAUACCGCAUACGCCCUACGGGGGAAAGCGGGGGACCUUCGGGCCUCGUGCUAUUAGAUGAGCCUGCGUUGGAUUAGCUAGUUGGUGGGGUAAAGGCCUACCAAGGCGACGAUCCAUAGCUGGUCUGAGAGGAUGAUCAGCCACACCGGGACUGAGACACGGCCCGGACUCCUACGGGAGGCAGCAGUGGGGAAUAUUGCGCAAUGGGCGAAAGCCUGACGCAGCCAUGCCGCGUGUGUGAAGAAGGCCUUCGGGUUGUAAAGCACUUUCAAUUGGGAGGAAAGGUUCACGACUAAUACUCGUGAGCUGUGACGUUACCUUUAGAAGAAGCACCGGCUAACUCCGUGCCAGCAGCCGCGGUAAUACGGAGGGUGCGAGCGUUAAUCGGAAUUACUGGGCGUAAAGCGCGCGUAGGUGGUCUGUUAAGUCGGAUGUGAAAGCCCCGGGCUCAACCUGGGAACUGCAUCCGAUACUGGCAGACUAGAGUGCGGGAGAGGGAGGUAGAAUUCCACGUGUAGCGGUGAAAUGCGUAGAUAUGUGGAGGAAUACCAGUGGCGAAGGCG
rnacentral:rRNA from 1 species